GUGUGAUUAAUUUUUUUCAAAAGGAAUAAAAGAGUGUUAAAUGCACCAAAUACUUUCCUAAUGUCAUUUUUCUAUGUUAAGCAACUACUGUAGUCUUUUUGUACAGAGAUGUUGCACUUUCAUAAACUGGAAGAAAGAUGUCCAUGAGAGAAGUUCCUAUGUACAAAAAAUCUGGAGAAUCCCCUGCCGUGCAGAGUGUAGUAUAUUUCAGGAAGUGAACAGUGAACUCUAAUAUGUGCAUUCCGUUUACUGUGUUGAUAAAGCACCGAAUGGAACUUGGCCUAUCUUCCAUGGAAAGUCUGGCAUUGCUUCACAGAGAUCUCAGGAGGAUGGUUUUAAAGUUCCUUUUGAGGAAUUUAAAAAAAGCCUACUUUUUGCUUCAAAUGGGAAAAUUCUCCACAUUUGUACCACUUUCAGAGAAGGAAUGUAAUGUGCCACUGUCACACAUAAUAGGAGUAUUCUAAAAUGAGGUCAAGAGAACAAGUUACAGGAGUUGGUGACUGGAUGUGCAGACAAAGUAUUGUGCUUUUGGUCCAUAGUGUACCUUUUGAUGCUCAAGAUGACAAGAAAAUACAGCACCAUAUUGCAGACACUCUAACCAACAGUCACCUGGGAUGGACACCCUUUACCUUGGAUUCCCUAAACCACAAUCCCUUCCUGUCACAACUUUUAAAAGCCACAGCAGCGUACUACUUUCAUGACAAAGAGCGACACAGGCAGACUGACAGCAGGAGUGAUGGAGUUUCUCGUGUUGUAGCAGAACAGAAUUGGAGCACUAAAAAAGUGUUAUAAAAAUGUAUAUUUAGGGGAAAAAAGCAGCACAGUCACAACAGGAAAUCUCUUGGCUCAGGUGAGGGGACAAUGGUGUCUUCACCAAAACUGGUCCAUUUGAUUAUUUUACCUUAUCAGCUUUAUGUGGAAUAGUAGUGAAGUGGCCAUGUCUAGACUAAGAAAAAAGGUCAUGCUUAAAAAACAUUAGCCAACAUGUUUUACCUACACUCUUUUUAACAGUAGUGUAGACUGGCUUUAACAUCUUAAUUCUGCAUCAGUAUUGUGGGAUGGACUGGGUGACUUCUUGAGAUCCCUUCCAGCCCUAUGUUUCUAUGAAUGUUAGUUUCUCGUGGUCAACUUUAGGCUCCUUUCACGGGUCAACCCACUAACACUUGACUGUAAAUCAUCACUCACCUACAAACCUUGCUGAUACACCCAUAACACCUUCUUGACAUGUAUCUCUUCUUCUGUUUGAAGAGCACACUCGAUACAGUUCAAGGUUAAGAGCUAAGUUGUGAGUCAGAACCACUGCAUAUUGUGAUCUUCUUUGGAUAUCUUUUGUUCCCAUUUUAUUUUCUGUCUCUCUUCCUUGCCAAAUUUAUUUUUG
rnacentral:lncRNA from 1 species